UACGGGGGGGGGCAAGCGUUGUUCGGAAUUACUGGGCGUAAAGGGCUCGUAGGCGGCCAACUAAGUCAGACGUGAAAUCCCUCGGCUUAACCGGGGAACUGCGUCUGAUACUGGAUGGCUUGAGUUUGGGAGAGGGAUGCGGAAUUCCAGGUGUAGCGGUGAAAUGCGUAGAUAUCUGGAGGAACACCGGUGGCGAAGGCGACAUCCUGGACCAACACUGACGCUGAUGAGCGAAAGCCAGGGGAGCAAAGCGGG
rnacentral:rRNA from 1 species